rnacentral:lncRNA from 1 species
CCACACUUAAUCACCGAGCCACAUGCAUUCUCCAAGGCGACAUACUUCGUCACCGAGCCAUGUGCAUUCUCCGAGGUGAUAUAUCUAAUCAUCAAGCCUCGUGCAUUCUCCAAGGCGACGUACUAACCAUCGAGCCACGUGCAUUCUCCGAAGUGAUAUACCAAAUCACCGAGCCACGUGCAUUCUCCGAGAUGAUGUACGAUUCACCGAGCCACGUGCCUUUCAUGAUGAUUCAUCCCAUUUCUAAAGUAAUUACCCACAAUUAAAUCAAUUCAGCACAAAUUAAAGCUCAAUUAAAUAAACGGACUGCGCCACGACGAUCAGCACGAGAUUUCGGUCGUCGACCAUCUCAAACUUAAUUUCCGAAAAAUAAAUAAAUAAAUAAUUAAUUUCGAAAAUUAAUUAUUAAAUAUUAAAAAUUCCGUUUAGCUCAAAUUAAGGUCCAAUUAAAUAAACGGACUUCACCACGAUCAUCAGCAUAAUUUUCCGGUCACGGGCCAUCUCAGUUAAAUUUUCGGAAAAUAAAUAAUUAAUUAAUUAAUUUCGAGAAUUAAAAAUUAAUUAUAAUAAAUCCAAUUUAGCUCAAAUUGGUGCUCAGUUAAAUAAACGGACUUCACCACAGUCAUCAGCAUAAAAUUCUGGCUCCGGAUCAUCUCAGUUGAAUUUUCGGGAAAUAAAUAAUUAUUUAAUUUAAUUCUGAAAAUUAAUAUUUAAAUACCAAUAAUCCCACUUAGGCCCGAAUCGCCAAAUUGAAGCCCGAUUAGGGGUCAGAAAAUUCCCGAGAUACUUCCAAUAAAUAGUAGACCACGUCCACUUGCUAAUUGCGCAAUCAAUUUAUCUAAAUCGCAUCACAAUUGACUAAUAAUUGCUAAUUUAUUCUAAUCUAACAACCUAAACAUAAUUAAUUAAAACUAAACCAACCUUAAGCAUAAUUAGCCAACUAAUCCAAGAUUAGUGAGAUUACUCACCAAAUCGCGCGCAAAUCGGAUCAAUCCGACGGCGGCGACGCGAGGAACAACAAACUCCAAAGCGACUCGCGGAUCCCGGGGCCCGGAAACGGCCCAAAAGCGGGCCCGAAGCUGCUGAAACCCACUCCGUGGGUCUUGCUGGUCGGGGCUGAACGGAGCCGCUCCGGCGGCUAGGGCGGCGAGGGGAAGCCGGCGGAGGGCGAGGGGGUUGCGGGGGUGGUCCGGCGAGGUUGGGCGGUGGCCGGAGGUGGCCGGACGGAGCUAGAACAGGAGCGAACAGAGCUGGGUCCGCUCGGGGGAAGCGCUGCAGCGAGCGACGGACGGCGGGACGGUGGGCGCACGGGCGGGCAGAUGUCGCGGGCGUGCGAGCGGCGGUGCGGCGGCGGGACGGGCGGCGACGGUGCA